rnacentral:rRNA from 1 species
GAUGAACGCUGGCGGCGUGCCUAAUACAUGCAAGUCGAGCGAACGGACGAGAAGCUUGCUUCUCUGAUGUUAGCGGCGGACGGGUGAGUAACACGUGGAUAACCUACCUAUAAGACUGGGAUAACUUCGGGAAACCGGAGCUAAUACCGGAUAAUAUUUUGAACCGCAUGGUUCAAAAGUGAAAGACGGUCUUGCUGUCACUUAUAGAUGGAUCCGCGCUGCAUUAGCUAGUUGGUAAGGUAACGGCUUACCAAGGCAACGAUGCAUAGCCGACCUGAAAGGGGGAUCGGCCACACGGGAACUGAGCAACGGCCCAGACUCCUACGGGAGGCAGCAGUAGGGAAUCUUCCGCAAGGGGCGAAAGCCUGACGGAGCAACGCCGCGGGGGUGAUGAAGGUCUCCGGAUCGUAAAACUCUGUUAUUAGGGAAGAACAUAUGUGUAAGUAACAGUGCACAUCUGGACGGUACCUAAUCAGAAAGCCACGGCAAACUACGG